UAAACCGGGAGGAAGGUGGGGAUGACGUCAAGUCCUCAUGGCCCUUAUAGGUGGGGCUACACACGUCAUACAAUGGCUGGUACAAAGGGUUGCCAACCCGCGAGGGGGAGCCAAUCCCAUAAAGCCAGUCGUAGUCCGGAUCGCAGUCUGCAACUCGACUGCGUGAAGUCGGAAUCGCUAGUAAUCGUGGAUCAGCAUGUCACGGUGAAUACGUUCCCGGGUCUU
rnacentral:rRNA from 1 species